GUCCCCAUAACUCAAUGGAUAGAGCGGCUCUCUUCUAAAGAGCAAAUCGAGGUUCGACUCCUCGUGGGGACA
rnacentral:tRNA from 2 species